rnacentral:RNase_P_RNA from 1 species
CGAGUCGGCCGGGCGAUCGCGGCUUCCCCCGUGAGGCUGAGGAAAGUCCGGACUCCAUCGAGCAGGGUGGUGGGUAACACCCACCCGGGGCGACCCGCGGGCCAGUGCCACAGAAACAGACCGCCCCGUGAGGGGUAAGGGUGAAAAGGCGGUGUAAGAGACCACCAGCAUCUCGGGUGACCGGGAUGGCUAGGCAAACCCCACCCGGAGCAAGAUCAAGAAGGGUGCAUCCGUGCACUCGCGGAAGCGUUCGAGGGCUGCUCGCCCGAGCUUUCGGGUAGAUCGCAACAGGCCCCUGGCAACAGGGAUCGCAGAUAGAUGAUCGCCGUCCGAGCGCGAGCCCGGACACAGAAUCCGGCUUACAGGCCGGCUCGUCCC